rnacentral:rRNA from 1 species
GUGACGAAGCGACGCCGCGUGUGGGAGGAAGGCCUUCGGGUUGUAAACCACUGUCGGGAGUUAGGAAGUGUAAGGGUGUUAAUAGCGCCCUUACUUGACUAAGGCUCCGGAGGAAGCCACGGCUAACUCUGUGCCAGCAGCCGCGGUAUACAGAGGCGGCAAGCGUUGUUCGGAAUUAUUGGGCGUAAAGAGCACGUAGGCGGUUCUGCAAGUCGGCUGUGAAGGCCUUCCGCUCAACGGAAGAACGGCAGUUGAUACUACAGGACUAGAGUGCGGGAGGGGAGAGUGGAACUUCUGGUGGAGCGGUGAAAUGCGUAGAUAUCAGAAGGAACGCCGGCGGCGAGAGCGACUCUCUGGCCCGUAACUGACGCUGAGUGUGCGAAAGCUAGGGGAGCAAACGGGAUUAGAUACCCCGGUAGUCCUAGCCGUAAACGAU